GCCGUGGCUCAGUGGUAGAGCAUCUGCUUGGAAUGCAAAAGGUUCCAGGUUUUAUCCUCAGCAUCUGCA
rnacentral:tRNA from 1 species